ACUUUUUAGUAGUUAGUACUUUUUUUAACUUCUGCACUUUUCAGCAAACUCUUAACAUCUCUUAUUUCAUUGGUGAUACUUUGGUGCUUUAUGAGGUCACAUUUUAUUUUUUCCUUGCAAAUGAGACACCAGCAUAGAAAUACUUCUCAUCUUGCUGCCCUCUGGGCUUUGUUUUUCUCUAAUGUUGAAUGACAGAUACUAACAGUCUGUAAGAGCUAGUGUGAAAAUGCUGCCUUUUGUGGUUGUGUCGUCAUAUUUUCCAGCCUGCCACCCGGGCCAGGCUGUCACCACGCACCUGCAGAGUGAAGGAGUUUCAGGCACGGUUCCAGGCCUCUGCUUCCUGAGAUGGUGCAGCAGAGGUUUGGAGGGAGGUGCGUGGCCCAGUGUGCUCCCCGGGGGAAAUUGUGAGAAAAACCCACGUCUCUCUGGAGAGUUGCUUUUACAAAGUACCUAUUUGGGAUCUCAUCAAAUAUCUAGGAAAGAUCAACCAUCUAUGAAGAUAAAAAACUGGGAGUUAGCACCAGACCCAGACAGACUUUUCAUCUAUUCUUCUGAGGGCAGCUCAGAAAGAUGACCUGGAAGACUCCAUCUGCAUAAUAAGACAACCUUUCUUCCUGUGCACCUCCACCUCUCACCUUUCUUAGUGUCUGUUUCUCACCUCCACCGUCCAUUUAUUCUCCCUAAUGGUUUACUGCCCCCGAAAAUAAUUGUCUAAAUUCCCCGAUGAUAUGUAAUCAUGUUUCUUGAUCCCAAAUGUCUCAAAAUGGUGUCACUUAUGACAAAUGGCUCAGCCUACAGUGAAAUUGCUGACCCCUCAGAGUGAUAAGCAUAUGUAUAGAAGAUGUCACCUGCUGUGGCCAGGCACUGCUGAGACCUGACAAGCGAGUGAAGCCAAAAGGUGGCUGAGAUCAUGGCCAUGGAGGGCCAUAAAAACCACAAAGAAACUGACCACGGUCAAGAUGCCAGCAGAAGCUCUGCACGUGGCAACUCUGAGGCCUCUGUUCCAUCGGCAGGGGCUGUAGGAAGGUCUGCUGGGAGAAGAGCAGUGACAGUGACACCCGCUCCAACCCCGACCUAGGAAAAAAUAACAGGACCUGCUGGAUUGUCAGUCAGCAUGCUGGCCUCCUAAGAUAAUCAAGCUGUGACCCUCCUCUCUCUCUUACUAGUGCCCUUGUGUGUUGAAUAUAUUUGCAUGAUUGUAGGCAUGUGAAAGCCUCACAAUAAACCAUGGAUUCAUCAGCAUUUAAUUGGCCACCUACUCAGUGUGAAGCCUCCUGGCCUCAGUUAGCACAACGAGGCUGAUUUGAACCUGAUAGGAGAGCCAUCUCUCCGUCCCCUAUGAAAAAGAGCAUAUGGGCUUCUGCGCUGCUGUCGGUCAGAGGGUAAUCAUUCUCCUGUGGUUCCCCCAUGCUAUGCGCGUUACAGUAAACUAUUGCAUGCCUUUUCCUUUAUUAAUUUGCCUUUUGUCAGCUGAUUUUCAGUGAACCUUUAGAGGGCGAAGGGGAAGUUUUCUCUGUACCCCUAUAAGUCUCUCCAGGAAAUGGCUCAAAAAUAAAAUAAAAAGGAAUAGAAUCUAUUCCUAACCCUUCUAAAUGGAUGUUUCCUUUGUAUUAACCUUUCAUUUUGUGAUGUGUUCCUCCACUCCUGAGCACUCAGCCUGAGCACUGGCUCCUCCCCUCUGACUUGAUAGGACCAGGCUUCUAGAACCCAGCCUGGAGCCUACAUAUCUGAGAGGGGCAAUUUUUCUUUUAUGCUUCUCUUAAGGAAAAUCAAUCCAAAGCGAUGCACACAGACCUUAUUCUGUUUCAUCGACCAGCUAGCUGAUUGGCACUGUUUUGUACAUAUGAAGUUACCAGGCACUGGGUUUGUUUCUCUAAGUUUCCUUUCAGAAUUGUCUCCUUUGGUUCUUGUCCUAGUUCCUUUUCCACCAUCU
rnacentral:lncRNA from 10 species